AAUUGUUUUCAGAGUAAACAUUAUUUCUAAUUACAAUUUUCCAUUUUGUUUUACUAGGGUGAACAAGGAGUUACAGGUCCUCCAGGUCCACAAGGACCUGACUCGCAACGGAAAGAGAAAGGGAGUACAGUCAUAUAUGGAGAAAAGGGAGAACCAGGUGAAAAAGGAGAUCCUGGAUCGCCAGGACAGUCAGGGUCAAGUAUCAAAGGGGAAAAGGGUGAACGUGGAAAACCUGGCCCACGGGGAAAACCUGGAAAAGAUGGCGAGGAAGGACCAAAAGGAGAACGGGUAUGUGUUUCACUUGAUUUUUCAUAAAUUGCCAUUAUUAGAUAGGACUCUAUUACUGGAUGGGCCUAUUAAAUCGUACA
rnacentral:lncRNA from 1 species